GGGCCCGCACAAGCAGUGGAGUAUGUGGUUUAAUUCGAAGCAACGCGAAGAACCUUACCAGGGCUUGACAUCCCUCGAAUUGCAUGGAAACAUGCAAGUCCUUCGGGACGAGGAGACAGGUGGUGCAUGGUUGUCGUCAGCUCGUGUCGUGAGAUGUUGGGUUAAGUCCCGCAACGAGCGCAACCCUUGUUGUUAGUUGCCAUCAAGUAAAGUUGGGCACUCUAACGAGACUGCCGGUGAUAAAUCGGAGGAAGGUGGGGAUGACGUCAAAUCAUCAUGCCCUUUAUGUCCUGGGCUACACACGUACUACAAUGGCUGCUACAGAGGGCAGCGAAGCCGCAAGGCGAAGCGAAUCCCAAAAAAGCGGUCUCAGUUCGGAUUGUGGGCUGCAACCCGCCCGCAUGAAGCCGGAAUUGCUAGUAAUGGCAGGUCAGCAUACUGCCGUGAAUACGUUCCCGGGCCUU
rnacentral:rRNA from 1 species